GUUAACUUAAAGUCUGUUUCGAAAUCCACAUUGUCAAAUUGCAUAUCACUCAACCAUUGCAAAGCAUAGUGCAGCCCUAAAGCUUCACCCAUAUCCACUGGAACAGUACAAGGGUAUGUCAUAGUCUUAGCCAGAACAAACGUGCCUUCUGCAUCGCGAACACAAAUACCAAUACCUGUACGGUUGACGUGAGAAGAGAAG
rnacentral:lncRNA from 1 species